rnacentral:rRNA from 1 species
GUAGGUUGGUAUGAGAGGGGUCUGCGUCCUAUCAGCUUGUUGGUAAGGUAAUGGCUUACCAAGGCUAAGACGGGUAGGGGGCGUGAGAGCGCGGUCCCCCACAGUGGCACUGAAACACGGGCCACACUCCUACGGGAGGCAGCAAUUAGGAAUCUUUCGCAAUGGGGGAAACCCUGACGAAGCGACGCCGCGUGAAGGAAGACGGCCUACGGGUUGUAAACUUCUUUUAUUAGGGAGCAGGAAGGAUAGUACCUAAUGAAUAAGCACCUGCUAACUGCGUGCCAGAAGCCUCGGUGAUGCGUAGGGUGCAAGCGUUGUCCGGAUUUAUUGGGCGUAAAGUGACUUGUAGGCGGUCAAGGAAGUUUUGUUUCAAAGACUCAGGCUUAACUUGAGGAAGGGACAAAAAACCACUUGACUUGAGGAAGGUAGAGGAAUACGGAAUGUGUGGUGGAGCGGUAGAAUGCGUUGAUAUCACACAGAACGCCAAAAGCGAAGGCAGUAUUCUGGACCUUUCCUGACGCUCAGAGUCGAAAGCCAGGGUAGCGAAACGGAUUAGAUACCCGUGUAGUCCUGGCCGUAAAUGUUGCUAGUUAAGUGUUGGUUUCGUCAAUUCGGAAUCAGUGCUGAAGUUAACGCGUUAAACUAGCCGCCUGAGUAGUACGACCGCAAGGUUAAAACUCAAAGGAAUUGGCGGGGACCCGCACAAGCAGUGGAGCACGUGGUUUAAUCCGAGGUUAAUCGUAGAACCUUACCAGGGUUUGAAUGUAGCUGUGGUUCCUAAGAAACUAGGAACGUCUUCGAGAUCGCUACACAGGUGCUGCAUGGCCGUUGUCAGCUCGUGCUGUGAAGUGUACCGUUAAGUCGGGUAACGAGCGCAACCCUUGUCCUAUGUUACAAGUGUCUUAGGAGACCGCCGCGGUAAAACGCGGAGGAAGGAGGGGAUGACUUCUGGUCAGCAUGGUCCUUAUGCCCUGGGCCACACACGCGCUACAAUGGCUGGUACAAUGGGUUGCCAAACCGCAAGGUGGAGCUAAUCCCAUAAAGCCAGUCUCAGUCCGGAUUGCAGGCUGCAAUUCGCCUGCAUGAAUGUUGGAAUUGCUAGUAAUCGUGGAUCAGCCAUGCCACGGUGAAUACGUUCUCGGGUCUUGCACACACCGCCCGUCAUGU